GUGAAUCAUCGAAUUUUUGAACGCAAAUUGCACUCUCUGCUAAUAGUAUGACUGUUUGAGGGUCAGCCUAAAAAUAAUUGACAUAGUUGGUGGUAGGCGCUAACAGUGGUCAGGAAUGGAAUCAUCGUAAACUUUUGUUUGUAAGCGGCUUAAAAUUUUUUGUACGAUUCUAUGAAAGUUUCUAAGAUUUUUUUUUCUUAUACUGUUAUUUUAUCUAUCUUGUUUGGUCGUCGUCAUG
rnacentral:misc_RNA from 1 species